UAACAAUUUUAAACAAAUUCGCAGAUUUUUCACUUUCUAAGACUCUGGAACCUAUUCGAAGGUCCGAUGGAGAACUGAACGGUGCACACCAGGCCAUGUUCGUCUUAAAAUAGAGUGCCAUGACUGUGUAACAACGAUCCAGUAGGCUUGAAAAAAUUUAUUGGACAGUCAGUUGAGUUAAUUCAGAAUUCUUCUUCAUUAAUGACGUCAAAUGCCUGGCAGAGUAUGUAGGACAUAUUCUCUUUUAUCUUUUUAAUUUUUCACUUACUAGAACUAAAACUAGAACUAAAUGAAUAAAAAGUGUUUCUUAGCAUACCUGAAUCUGCAUACGAGGCCCAUUAAUACUUACUUAGAAUGUGGUAAAAGAGGCCACUAAUAAUAUAACGAAAAACUGUGAAAUAAAACUGAUUGUCUAUGAAAAUAGCAGAACCUUGACUGAUCCCACCUUGAUUGCUAAUGAACUUAAUAAUUAUUUUAGUAAAAUAGGGCAAAGAUUGGCAAGUAAAAUAAAAAAGUGAACACCAAAUUAUAUAGAAAGAACUAAGAGUAACUUAAAUUUCUUUUACAGAAAAUAAAUUAAGAGCUUAAAAAACAAUAGACAUAAUCACAGACACCUAUUAAAACCUCUGUUGCAUAUUGUCUACUGCAUUUGCAAGUGUGCUUAAUAAGACAAAUAUAGUGGCUAUUCUUAAACAAGGAAAUAUAGAAUUAACCACAAAUUAUAGACCCAAACUGGUUAAAAAGUGCGUUACAGUAUAUCAUACAAAGUAAAAACACCAAUUUGCUUUAAGAACGAAUACUUGUACUGGAAAUGCCUGGUAACAAAAGGCCUUGUAGGUAACUUGGAUAAGGGUAAGAGGACCUUGGGAAUAUUUUUGGAUUUAGCCAAGGCUUUUGGCCCCAUGGCGCAUCAUAUUCUAUUAGAGGCUGGACGAAAUGGGUAUUAGGGGAAUUGGAAAUAGUCUCAUAAAAUCAUUUUUACCUAAAAGAUCACAAAAAGUUAAAGUUAAAAAUUGUUUAAGUAAUUCAGUCUGUGUUGAAUAUGGUGUGCCACAGGAUACUGUGCUUGGUCCCUUUUAAUGUUUAUAUUACUGGCAUACCUUCGAUUUGUUGAAAACAAGGGAGACAACUAUUAAAAACAAAUUUAACAGUCAUUAAAUAUUGACCAGACAAAAUCUAUUAAACCCUAUAAAACUGAACCAAAACUAGUUUUCAAAAAUUGAAAAAUUAUUUACUUAGACCCACUAUACAGGGUUGGACUUUUCGUAUGUUAUAGUCAAAGGUUGAAGCUAACUAUUCUCUUACUAUACAUUUUUCUAUAACUGUACAGGGUGUCUCAAAAAUUGGAGCCAAAAUCUAUUAAACCCUAUAGGACUGAACCAAAACUAGGUUUCAAAAAUUGAAAAAUUAUUUUCUUAGACCCACUGUACAGGGUUGGACUUUUGGUAUGUUAUAGUCAAAGGUUGAAGCUAAUUAUUCUCUUACUAUACAUUUUUCCAUAAAUGUACAGGGUGUUUCGGAAAAUCCAGUCAAAAUUUAUUAAACCCUAUAGGACUGAACCAAAACUAGUUUUCAAAAAUUGAAAAAUUAUUUUCUUAGACCCACUGUACAGGGUUGGACUUUUGGUAUGUUAUAGCCAAAGGUUGAAGCUAAUUAUUCUCUUACUAUACAUUUUUCCAUAAAUGUACAGGGUGUCUCGGAAAAUCCAGUCAAAAUUUAUUAAACCCUAUAGGACUGAACCAAAACUAGUUUUCAAAAAUUGAAAAAUUAUUUUCUUAGACCCACUAUACAGGGUUGGACUUUUGGUAUGUUAUAGUCAAAGGUUGAAGCUAAUUAUUCUCUUACUACACAUUUUUCUAUAACUGUUCAGGGUGUCUCAAAAAUUGGAGCCAAAAUCUAUUAAACCCUAUAGGACUGAACCAAAACUAGUUUUCAAAAAUUGAAAAAUUAUUUUCUUAGACCCACUAUACAGGGUUGGACUUUUCAUAUGUUAUAGCCAAAGGUUGAAGCUAAUUAUUCUCUUACUACACAUUUUUCUAUAACUGUACAGGGUGUCUCGGAAAAUCCAGUCAAAAUCUAUUAAACCCUAGAGGACUGAACCAAAACUAGUUUUCAAAAAUUGAAAAAUUAUUUUCUUAGACCCACUAUACAGGGUUGGACUUUUGGUAUGUUAUAGUCAAAGGUUGAAGCUAAUUAUUCUCUUACUAUACAUUUUUCCAUAAAUGUACAGGGUGUUUCGGAAAAUCCAGUCAAAAUUUAUUAAACCCUAUAGGACUGAACCAAAACUAGUUUUCAAAAAUUGAAAAAUUAUUUUCUUAGACCCACUAUACAGGGUUGGACUUUUGGUAUGUUAUAGUCAAAGGUUGAAGCUAAUUAUUCUCUUACUAUACAUUUUUCCAUAAAUGUACAGGGUGUUUCGGAAAAUCCAGUCAAAAUUUAUUAAACCCUAUAGGACUGAACCAAAACUAGUUUUCAAAAAUUGAAAAAUUAUUUUCUUAGACCCACUGUACAGGGUUGGACUUUUGGUAUGUUAUAGCCAAAGGUUGAAGCUAAUUAUUCUCUUACUAUACAUUUUUCCAUAAAUGUACAGGGUGUCUCGGAAAAUCCAGUCAAAAUGUAUUAAACCCUAUAGGACUGAACCAAAACUAGUUUUCAAAAAUUGAAAAAUUAUUUACUUAGACCCACUGUACAGGGUUGGACUUUUGGUAUGUUAUAGUCAAAGGUUGAAGCUAAUUAUUCUCUUACUACACAUUUUUCCAUAAAUGUACAGGGUGUC